GACGAACGCUGGCGGCGUGCUUAACACAUGCAAGUCGAACGGAGAGGCCCUGCUUUUGUGGGGUGCUCGAGUGGCGAACGGGUGAGUAACACGUGAGUAACCUGCCCUUGACUUUGGGAUAACUUCAGGAAACUGGGGCUAAUACCGGAUAGGAGCUCCUGCUGCAUGGUGGGGGUUGGAAAGUUUCGGCGGUUGGGGAUGGACUCGCGGCUUAUCAGCUUGUUGGUGGGGUAGUGGCUUACCAAGGCUUUGACGGGUAGCCAGCCUGAGAGGGUGACCGGCCACAUUGGGACUGAGAUACGGCCCAGACUCCUACGGGAGGCAGCAGUGGGGAAUAUUGCACAAUGGGCGGAAGCCUGAUGCAGCAACGCCGCGUGCGGGAUGACGGCCUUCGGGUUGUAAACCGCUUUCGCCUGUGACGAAGCGUGAGUGACGGUAAUGGGUAAAGAAGCACCGGCUAACUACGUG
rnacentral:rRNA from 1 species